rnacentral:rRNA from 1 species
GAUGAACGCUGGCGGCGUGCCUAAUACAUGCAGGUCGAGCGAACAGACGAGGAGCUUGCUCCUCUGACGUUAGCGGCGGACGGGUGAGUAACACGUGGAUAACCUACCUAUAAGACUGGGAUAACUUCGGGAAACCGGAGCUAAUACCGGAUAAUAUAUUGAACCGCAUGGUUCAAUAGUGAAAGACGGUUUUGCUGUCACUUAUAGAUGGAUCCGCGCCGCAUUAGCUAGUUGGUAAGGUAACGGCUUACCAAGGCAACGAUGCGUAGCCGACCUGAGAGGGUGAUCGGCCACACAGGAACUGAGACACGGUCCAGACUCCUACGGGAGGCAGCAGUAGGGAAUCUUCCGCAAUGGGCGAAAGCCUGACGGAGCAACGCCGCGUGAGUGAUGAAGGUCUUCGGAUCGUAAAACUCUGUUAUUAGGGAAGAACAAAUGUGUAAGUAACUAUGCACGUCUUGACGGUACCUAAUCAGAAAGCCACGGCUAACUACGUG